rnacentral:rRNA from 1 species
CCGCGGUGAAUACGUUCCCGGACCUUGUACACACCGCCCGUCAAGCCAUGGAAGCUGGGUGUACCUAAAGUCGAUAACCGUAAGGAGUCGCCUAGGGUAAAACUAGUAACUGGGGCU